rnacentral:tRNA from 1 species
CUUUUAAAGGAUCAAAGUCUAAUCCGUUGGUCUUAGGACCA